AACAUUUGGAAACAGAUGCUAAUACCGCAUAACAGCGUUGUUCGCAUGAACAACGCUAAAAGAUGGCUUCUCGCUAUCACUUCUGGAUGGACCUGCGGUGCAUUAGCUUGUUGGUGGGGUAAYGGCCUACCAAGGCGAUGAUGCAUAGCCGAGUUGAGAGACUGAUCGGCCACAAUGGGACUGAGACACGGCCCAUACUCCUACGGGAGGCAGCAGUAGGGAAUCUUCCACAAUGGGCGCAAGCCUGAUGGARCAACACCGCGUGAGUGAAGAAGGGUUUCGGCUCGUAAAGCUCUGUUGUUAAAGAAGAACACGUAUGAGAGUAACUGUUCAUACGUUGACGGUAUUUAACCAGAAAGUCACGGCUAACUACGUGCCAGCAGCCGCGGUAAUACGUAGGUGGCAAGCGUUAUCCGGAUUUAUUGGGCGUAAAGAGAGUGCAGGCGGUUUUCUAAGUCUGAUGUGAAAGCCUUCGGCUUAACCGGAGAAGUGCAUCGGAAACUGGAUAACUUGAGUGCAGAAGAGGGUAGUGGAACUCCAUGUGUAGCGGUGGAAUGCGUAGAUAUAUGGAAGAACACCAGUGGCGAAGGCGGCUACCUGGUCUGCAACUGACGCUGAGACUCGAAAGCAUGGGUAGCGAACAGGAUUAGAUACCCUGGUAGUCCAUGCCGUAAACGAUGAGUGCUAGGUGUUGGAGGGUUUCCGCCCUUCAGUGCCGGAGCUAACGCAUUAAGCACUCCGCCUGGGGAGUACGACCGCAAGGUUGAAACUCAAAGGAAUUGACGGGGGCCCGCACAAGCGGUGGAGCAUGUGGUUUAAUUCGAAGCUACGCGAAGAACCUUACCAGGUCUUGACAUCUUGCGCCAACCCUAGAGAUAGGGCGUUUCCUUCGGGAACGCAAUGACAGGUGGUGCAUGGUCGUCGUCAGCUCGUGUCGUGAGAUGUUGGGUUAAGUCCCGCAACGAGCGCAACCCUUGUUACUAGUUGCCAGCAUUAAGUU
rnacentral:rRNA from 1 species